rnacentral:rRNA from 1 species
UACGAAGGGGGCUAGCGUUGUUCGGAAUCACUGGGCGUAAAGCGCACGUAGGCGGAUCUUUAAGUCAGGGGUGAAAUCCCGAGGCUCAACCUCGGAACUGCCUUUGAUACUGGGGAUCUCGAGUUCGAGAGAGGUGAGUGGAACUGCGAGUGUAGAGGUGAAAUUCGUAGAUAUUCGCAAGAACACCAGUGGCGAAGGCGGCUCACUGGCCCGGUACUGACGCUGAGGUGCGAAAGCGUGGGGAGCAAACAGG